rnacentral:rRNA from 1 species
UACGAAGGGGGCUAGCGUUGCUCGGAAUCAUUGGGCGUAAAGCGCUCGUAGGCGGCCUCUUAAGUCGGCGGUGAAAUCCUGGAGCUCAACUCCAGAACUGCCUUCGAUACUGGGAGUCUCGAGUCCGGGAGAGGUGAGUGGAACUGCGAGUGUAGAGGUGAAAUUCGUAGAUAUUCGCAAGAACACCAGUGGCGAAGGCGGCUCACUGGCCCGGUACUGACGCUGAGGUGCGAAAGCGUGGGGAGCAAACAGG